AUACUCCGAGAACUGAAAGGCUUUUUGAAGUCUUCGGAUGGAUAGAAGAACCCCUGAUGCCGUCGAGCCAAGAAAAGUUUCUAAGUUUAGCUAAUGUUGCCCGUACCGUAAACCGACACAGGUGGGUGGGAUGAGUAUUCUAAGGCGCGUGGAAGAACUCUCUUUAAGGAACUCUGCAAAAUAGCACCGUAUCUUCGGUAUAAGGUGUGGUUAGCUUUGUAUUAGGAUUUACUCCGAAAGCAAGGAAACUUACAACAAAGAGUCCCUCCCGACUGUUUACCAAAAACACAGCACUCUGCUAACUCGUAAGAGGAUGUAUAGGGUGUGACGCCUGCCCGGUGCUCGAAGGUUA
rnacentral:rRNA from 1 species